GAGCGGCGGCCAACGGCCAGUGCGCAGCGGCCGCUGGAACGCAGCCCUGACUUCCGCAGGCACGGAUUCCUCAGGUGCGACAGCACGUCAGAAGAGGGCAGGAUGCGGAUCUGCGGACAAGGCUUUGGGGAGAGGGUCUGGAUCAGCGCCUACUUCCAACCAGCCUCUUUUGCCCCCACACAAGCGAGUUUUCCUCUCUCAGACCCGGGAAUCCAAAGGUCGGGGGAAAGAAUCUGAGGCGACUGGCAGGAGUCCGUUGGUUUUUCCCGUGGGUGAGUCCAGCCUCAAGGACUGGGCCAGGAGAGACUGCCGUGGGAAAGGGCAUUCCUUCCAGAGUCCUCAAGGAGGAUGGGCAGACGAGUUGGUCAUUCAAAACCAAAGCUUAGCCUGCAGACCACUUUGGACUCUGCAAGGGGACCCCCAAGACCUCAGCCAGCCUCCGGCUUCCCGACACGCAGAUCACGCAACAGAGACGCGGAGACGAGACGCGCACAGAGAUAAGCACCGCGGAGCUGCCUCGGAAGAUGCGACGGCAGCAGCCGGCCGCUCCCAGAGACACACACAGACAGCACGUCCUCUGCCGACCUCGACACCUCGCGCUUUAUUUCUGGUGCCAAUGCAGGAGCGGAGGACAGACACACUGGACGAAACGCGGAGGUCUCCAUCCAGAAGUGGGGGCUGUGCGCGCACCUCUGCCCGGAAGCGGGGCUGGGCGCCAGAGCAGGCGGUCUGCUGGCCAGAGGCGGUGAGGAGAGGAGUUGGGGCGGGAGGGGGCGGCACCCGUGUCCUGGGCUGGCCGCUCGCUGCGGGGGGGGGGCAGGGGCGGGGGCCGGCUUCAGAGUGGCUGCGUGAGCGCCGAGGGGCCUAGCACCGUGAGGCUCGGCCGCAGUCGCGCCCCUUUCGGAGGGGUCCCAGCGUCUCAACCAAGAAGCAGGGGGACAGGAGGGCGAGGACGCUGUGGAUCUGUGCUGGCCGCUCGCUCCAGGGCGGGGGCAGGGGCGGGGGCGGGCUUCAGGCCGGCUGGGAGAACUGCGGCGGCCCCCGAGCGGGCNNNNNNNNNNNNNNNNNNNNNNNNNNNNNNNNNNNNNNNNNNNNNNNNNNNNNNNNNNNNNNNNNNNNNNNNNNNNNNNNNNNNNNNNNNNNNNNNNNNNNNNNGCUGCAGAGUGAAGCAGACCGCCGCCGCUGGCUCGGCGGGCCAGGGCUGAGAUGAGGCGCAAGAACCCGCGGCUGCCAGGGCCGACCUGCUGAGGUCCAGGCAGACCGCACGGUGGCCUCCACGCUGACCGGGGAGGCAGGCAUCGCUGCAGGGGGGUCUGAGGCAGCUGGAAUGGAGGAAGGGGGUCAGCCCUUUCCUUUUUCUCAAGUAGCCAGUAACACCCAGGACAGAAGGCACCGGCCGGGCAGCACCGAGAACAGAGAUGGGGCUCAGCCCUGGGGGAGACGGCGCCCUGGAGCCGGAGCCCAGCCAAGGUGGGGCUGAGAGGCCAGCGCCCAGGGAAGGCCCACCUGGCGAGGUGUCUCCUCGUCCUUCCAGGCUGGGACGCCCCGCUCCGGGGCCGCCUCCUUCUGCGUGGCAGAGACCUUAAGGCAGUGAUGUCAGCACCAUCCUUGGACAGACAGCCUCUUCCCGCGGGAGAAUUGCAUAUUUUCUGGCAGGGUUGGGGUCUUCACAGCUCUAGCAGCAUCAACAGACAUCCCCUCCAGCAGAUAAGAUCCGUCAUCCCUGGGAGCCGCCAGGUGAAUGCAGAAGCUUCUGAAAGGAGCAAUCUGACCACCUUUUGGACCUAAGUGAACCUCUUCUAGUAGGAAGGUUCAGAUGUAGCCGCUCCUUGGUUUGGUGGGACAGAGAUCCAGGUUAGUGGUUGCUGUGCCUGUAGGUUCUGAUAAGUGUGUGUGCUACUCGGGGCUCCAAAGAGCAUCACAGAUGCCUGGUCUGCAGAGCCCAGAACCACAGCCUUGCCAGGCAACCCAGUGCACUGGCAGUUAACCGCGGGCUUCUCGACGGCUGGCUCCUGUGGUUUGGACGCCAUUUCUCAGGCGACCCUGAGGUCCCACGAGAUAAGAUGUGUGUCCAGUGGAGAUGAAUGUUUCCUAGUAACAGUGAAUGUAAGUCCUCACACCUUCUUUUUUUAUACCCAGUGACUGGUACACAGUAAAUGCCCAAUAAAUGCUUGUCCAAUGAAGGAAUUGGGACUGCCGAGCCUUCAGGGCAACUUCUGCAAAAGGUGGACCCCUUUGGAAGGCAGAUCUUUGCCACCGAAUCAGACUCAUCCUAUUCCGACUGGGAGCGUCUCACACGGGUGUCCACUCCAAGUGAAUCUUCGCUUGUUCAGAGCCGACAGUAAAGGCCAGCCAGGGAUUCUGGAUUCAGCCGGGCAGAGCAGUUGCCAUCAGAAGAGUGCAGUGAGGGCUCCGCAGGCCACAGAGGGAGAUUUUCCAGGCUCUGGUUUCCUUCCAGUCCACGGGGAAGCUCAGCUGAGGUCUUCUGUCAGGAUGGGCCCACGAUCUCCUCCAGAGACUGGCCGCCAUGCUCCAGGCAAGCCGUGUGGGACUCGAGGUCCCUCCUGUCCCACUGCUGAGCUGGCUCUUCAGGUCCCAUGAGAGCCCCGGAGUGCCAGGCGCGACUGCGUGGCAGGCAUCUUGCGGGUGCGCGCUGCCCAGCACUGGGCUCUCCACAUUGCGGGUGCGGGCUGCCCGGCACUGGGCUCUCCACAGGGCGACCUGGAAAAGCCAGACCAGCCCCAGGAAAAGCAGCUUGAGCAUUUUGUGGACUUGUGAGGGUACAGGAAAACAAGCUGAGAAAGAAGAGGGGAAUAAAUAGGCAAAUGGGAGGGAAAAAUGGAAACAAAAAAACAAAACAGAAAGUCGGGUUUAUUGAUUUGUGUGUUGACUUAGACGCUGUGAGCAGAGCUGGUGGCGCGUCUCUGAAGGCUGCAGUGGCGUCCUCGUGGUCUGGCCGCGUCUCAGAUGGGUGGCCAUCUCGCUGGUGUCCCCCGUGUGUCCAGAAGGGGGCAGGUAGCGCUCCUUGCCACUGAACUUCCUCCCUCCAGCUUCAUGCUUUCCUUUUUUAAAAUACCUUUUACAGAUUGAUUUGAACUUUGUAAACCACAUGCUUUUUUUUUUUUUUUUUCCCCUGGGCUGCAGCCUGAUCUUGGGGGCAGGGAGAGCUGUUGGCAGUGGAUGGAACUGGGCAGGGUCCAAGGGAGGGUCCGGGAGCCGCCUCCUCCCAGAAGACUUCCCCUGGCGAGGCUGUGUCUCUGAGCCGUUCGUGAGAAUCAGGAACUACCGCAGGCUUGUUUGAUGUCUUCUGAACCCCUCCCCAGAAAGCCCCGGAGUCUGUAAUUGAGACAAGAAAUCAAGGAAAAAGAGCCAGGAUCUUCUCCCCAAAGUCACUGGAGGAGACUAGGAGAUGGGUCUGGGGACGCAAGUCCACCUGCCAGUCCCACAGGGAGUUUGCCAAGGUGCAGCACCAGGAACCUGCCCCUUCCUCUACGGCCCCUCCUGUCCUGGGGCUGGAGAGCCCGCGCUGGGAGGGAGCAGGGAAGAGGGGAUGGCAUGGCACUGUCCUGCUCCCCCGCUGUCCCGUGGCUGGCCGCUGGGCCCUCAGAGUGUGGCCUGGAGGCUGGGGUCCAGGAUGCUCUCUCUGUCUGGAGACUCGAUGUAAUUGGCAGCUUCCUGCAGUUUCAGCAGCAUGGCCAUCUGAAGAGGGGCAGAGAGACAGGAAAGGAGAGUGGUGGGACGCCCAGGGAGUGCAGGGCUGGCUUGGGAACAGGCUGUGGUGGCUGCUUCCGCCCUGGGUGGACCCGGUCCUGGGGGGUGAGGGGCGACUGGGGGCAGUGCACCCACGCUGUGACCUGCUGGCCACUCCCUGGAGGGUGUGGGGGCCCCAAGGCUGCCUAACAGCGUUUCUCCAAGAGGCUGUGGCCCAGGGGCUGAGCGCUGAACUCAGUGCCUUCAGGACCUGCUUCUCUCCAGGCCAGCCCCCCGCCCCGCCCCCGCCCC
ensembl:lincRNA